UACGGGGGGGGCAAGCGUUGUUCGGAAUUACUGGGCGUAAAGGGCUUGUAGGUGGCCAACUAAGUCAGACGUGAAAUCCCUCGGCUUAACCGGGGAACUGCGUCUGAUACUGGAUGGCUAGAGUUUGGGAGAGGGAUGCGGAAUUCCAGGUGUAGCGGUGAAAUGCGUAGAUAUCUGGAGGAACACCGGUGGCGAAGGCGGUUCUCUGGGCCUUACCUGACGCUGAGGAGCGAAAGCGUGGGGAGCAAACAGG
rnacentral:rRNA from 1 species